AUGCCUGCAGCUCCUGCUGCUUUGGGACAAGGUCCUGGAGGUUUGGGAGACCUGGUUCUUCUGCCAGUAGCUCUGGGAGAGGCUGGAUGGAUCAUACAGCUGCAUCCCUCACCAUGGACCAGGGCACCUCCUUUGCCUGAAAAAUUCAAGUUUUUGCAAGGAAAAGGAGACCUCUCAUGGGCUCUUGUCCUGUCCACGAUACACACACUGGUGCAUGGGGAGAGGUCACAUCUGCAGCGACUUCAGCGUACUGCAGGGCCAGGCAGGAGCCAGGAUCCAGCUCUCACAGCUCCUGGGCAGAGGACAGCACCACGGCUUAGCCCAGACAAGCUGUCCUCAAUAACUCUGCUCUCCCUCUGCCAGAACCAGUGGCUUCCUCUCCGCUUCCUGGGGUGACACGAGGUGCAGAUUACAUCCAGAUGGAAGCACUGUGCGAGGCUGGCAAGCCAGGGACAUAACUGGCUUAGGCAAAAACGAGAGCCAAAGUCACCGAGAGCGACUGCCGCAGAGCUGAGAGCCGAGCCCGUGCUCCCAAAGAGGAGCCGUCACGCCAGGCUGGUGGCAAGAGCAGCCGAGGCUCGGAGUUAAUGACUCCUCUGGGGAGAGGCAAGGCUGGAACAAAAGCGGGGCUCGAGCUGAAAGGCAGCUCUGUGUGAGGAGAGAGGGAGACUACGAGGCUUCUGGCAAAGGACAGCACAAGGGGAUGUGUGCUGAAUGGAGCACGCCCCAGCAUACUGAUCAGAGGAGAGAUUUCAAAGGUAUUGUCAAAGAAAAUAUCUCCAAAGCCUUCCCUCUCCCCUGCACAGGGGUGGGCAGUGCCGUGUGAUGGCAGAAUGCAGAUCUGGGCUGCUCCACAUGAGGGUCCCCGUGGUUUCAUCCUGCCCUGCGGGGGUCCCCACGACACAGGGGACAGCCCCUGGAUGAGCAGGGGAACAAGCAGGGUGUUGUAGGGAUGGUGCUGAGCCUGCGCAAGGACACAAGCGAAGGUCAGGACUGCGUGUGGGAAUAAGCCCGGGUGAUGGAGCUGGGCUGUGGGUGCUUGAGAUGGGCACAGCACAGAGCUAAGGGGUCUCUGCAGCUUGUGGUCCCUCUCUGGGGUCACCGUGGUCCUCAGAAGCUCUGCUGGGCUGUGGACAAGGGCACAGGCACCAGUGUGGGCCAAGGGAAGGGAAUAAUGGAGCUGGGUGUCCCCCCUGCCUGGAGGUGUAUGUCCAUGGCCACAUCCAGGCCUGGUGAUGAGGGAUGAGCAGAGAAAUGGACACCACCAGGGCAAAACCAGCUGUGACCAUCAUUUCAGAUGUUACUCCUGUGAGAUCCAACAGCAGAGCCACUGGCUGAGCACAGGAGGGUCGGGGAGAGAGCAGAGCUGAGGCUUGCCCAGCAUCCUUCCUCCUGGUGGGCACCGAUGGGGGGCACUGAUGGGUAAGGGGGGUCCCUAGGCCCUCUUCCAGCCCACAGCACAUCCCUAAGCUCUCCUCUCCGUGCCAUCUCCCCCUCCUGCCCUGCCUUCACCCAGCCCCUAUUUCCCUCGUCCCCAGGCCCCCGGUGCCUGGCGCAGGCGGAGGUGACACCCCCAGCACCCCGAGGUGGGAUCCCCAUCACCACUGCACGCUAACAAACAAGGAUUAAGAAUAAAUCUGCUGCUGCUAAAAUUACA
rnacentral:lncRNA from 1 species